rnacentral:tRNA from 1 species
GGGGCUAUAGCUCAGUUGGUAGAGCGCUUGAAUGGCAUUCAAGAGGUCAGCGGUUCGAACCCGCUUAGCUCCA